rnacentral:rRNA from 1 species
GACGAACGCUGGCGGCGUGCCUAAUACAUGCAAGUAGGACGCAGUUGCGAACGGGUGAGUAACGCGUAGGUAACUGCCUCUUAGAGGGGGAUAACUAUUGGAAACGAUAGCUAAUACCGCAUACUAGUAGAUGGACCUGCGUUGUAUUAGCUAGUAGGUAGGGUAAUGGCCUACCUAGGCGACGAUACAUAGCCGACCUGGGAGGGUGAUCGGGCACACUGGGACUGGGAGACGGCCCAGACUCCUACGGGGGGCAGCAGUAGGGAAUCUUCGGCAAUGGGGGUAACCCUGACCGCGCAACGGCGCGUGAGUGAAGAAGGUUUUCGGGUCGGAAAGCUCUGUUGUUAAGGAAGCGGUACUUAACCAGAAAGGGACGGCUAACUUCGUGCCAGCAGCCGCGGUAAUUC